rnacentral:rRNA from 1 species
AGAGUUUGAUCCUGGCUCAGGAUAAACGCUGGCGGCGCACAUAAGACAUGCAAGUCGAACGAACUUAACCAAAUAGUUUACUUUUUGGAGCGGUUAGUGGCGGACUGGUGAGUAACACGUAAGCAACCUGCCUAUCAGAGGGGAACAACAGUUAGAAAUGACUGCUAAUACCGCAUAAGCCAUGAGUAUCGCAUGGUACAAAUGGAAAAGGAGCAAUCCGCUGAUAGAUGGGCUUGCGACUGAUUAGCUAGUUGGUGUGGUAACGGCAUACCAAGGCGACGAUCAGUAGCCGGACUGAGAGGUUGAACGGCCACAUUGGGACUGAGAUACGGCCCAGACUCCUACGGGAGGCAGCAGUCGGGAAUAUUGCGCAAUGGAGGGAACUCUGACGCAGUGACGCCGCGUGCAGGAAGAAGGUUUUCGGAUUGUAAACUGCUUUAGACAGGGAGGAAAAAGACAGUACCUGUAGAAUAAGCUCCGGCUAACUACGUGCCAGCAGCCGCGGUAAUACGUAGGGAGCGAGCGUUAUCCGGAUUUAUUGGGUGUAAAGGGUGCGUAGACGGGAAAUUAAGUUGGUUGUGAAAUCCCUCGGCUCAACUGAGGAACUGCAACCAAAACUGAUAAUCUUGAGUGCUGGAGGGGAAAGUGGAAUUCCUAGUGUAGCGGUGAAAUGCGUAGAUAUUAGGAGGAAUACCGGUAGCGAAGGCGACUUUCUGGACAGUAACUGACGUUGAGGCACGAAAGCGUGGGGAGCAAACAGGAUUAGAUACCCUGGUAGUCCACGCUGUAAACGAUGGAUA